rnacentral:rRNA from 1 species
GGAGGAAAAGAAACCACCAGGGAUUGCCUCAGUAGCGGCGAGUGAAGCGGCAAAAGCUCAAAUUUGAAAUCUGGCGUCUUUGGCGUCCGAGUUGUAAUUUGAAGAAGGUAUCUUUGGGCCCGGCUCUUGUCUAUGUUCCUUGGAACAGGACGUCACAGAGGGUGAGAAUCCCGUGCGAUGAGAUGACCCGGGUCUGUGUAAAGUUCCUUCGACGAGUCGAGUUGUUUGGGAAUGCAGCUCUAAGUGGGUGGUAAAUUCCAUCUAAAGCUAAAUAUUGGCGAGAGACCGAUAGCGAACAAGUACAGUGAUGGAAAGAUGAAAAGAACUUUGAAAAGAGAGUGAAAAAGUACGUGAAAUUGUUGAAAGGGAAGGGCUUGAGAUCAGACUUGGUAUUUUGCAUGUUGCUCUCUCGGGGGCGGCCGCUGCGGUUUACCGGGCCAGCAUCGGUUUGGAGCGGCAGGAUAAUGGCGGAGGAAUGUGGCACGGCUUCUGCUGUGUGUUAUAGCCUCUGACGAUACUGCCAGCCUAGACCGAGGACUGCGGUUUUUACCUAGGAUGUUGGCAUAAUGAUCUUAAGUCGCCCGUCUUGA